rnacentral:lncRNA from 1 species
GUAUUAACAUCAACAGUUCUCCAGGCUCUUAUCAUGGCGCUUUUGAACUACAAUUUCUUCUUAAUAUUUAUUUUUUCACGAAAUUGAAUCGAACAAAAGAAGAGUGCCUAAUGUGUAACAAAUGAAAAGGGCAUUCUCCUGUAUCUUUUUCAAGAAUAACAAAUGAAAAGCUCUAACAAUUGGAAAAACAAACAAAAAGACAAAAAUAUAUAAUUUUAUCUUGCCAAUAGAAAGCCGAAAUUAAAGAAAUUGAUCGCACAUUAAACCCAUUGAAGAAUAAGCACUAGGAACUACGAAACGAGAUGCUAGAUUUAGAAAGCCUAGAGUUACUCUUUUCUUCUCUUCGUUCUAUGACUGCUACAGCAAUGUCAAGUGCUUGAGAAUAAACCCAUUUCCCCAGUAAGAACUAUAUUUUCAUUUCAAUCCACAGAAGAAUCAGAAAUCAAAUAGCAUCACAGAAACAAGGAACGGAAGAAAGACAUUUUGAUUAAUACUGAAAUUGAGGAUUUCAGCCCUAGGAGAAUCGCAGGAUUCUGAUGCAGUGGGUUUCACAGUUGGGUGAAAGGAAAAGGGAAAAGAAGGUUUUGGAUGCUCUUCUGAAAAUGGACGCUUAAUAUUACUCGUUCCAAAGGUAAAAUCUUUUCUAAUAAGGAAUAAUUAGGGAAGUCUUUUUU